UGGAAGAGGGGGAAUCCAGGGCUUCUGGCUCAGGACUCCCGAAGAUGGACUUGGCUGAAAGUCACUGAUUUCUGUGCUAACGAGCUCUGCCCUAAGCUGUGAUCCUGUUGAUUAAUAAACCUGUUUCCCUGGCUGGCUGAGAGUCAUGUCUGACUGCGGAGUUCAGGGGCAGGACCCUCUGGCUUCCCCAGGACCCUGCCCUGGCCACUUGCUGUGGGAAGAGCACGGUGGGACAGAGGAUGCUGACCCAGGAAGGUGGAAGCUGGGGGCUCACGAGUGCUGCCUGGUGCACCGGCGAGGGGGGUUCAAGGAAAACUGGAGUAGACUGGACCUGUGGGUGCCGCUGAUGUAGAAUUUCUAUGUUGAAUUGUUACCGCGAACAAAUGGUAACUCGAAGCAGCUUGGGUCGAGAAGAUCAUACAGAUAAAACAUUCAUGUUUUCAGGAAGCAACCCAGUUGCAACAGGAUGUUAUAAGAACGAUCAACAACGUCAUCAAGAGCAUCUUUUAGCCUUCCUCUUUGCAAAGGAAAAACCUCAGCUUAACCCUGCGCACGGAACUUGAGAACCAUCCUUAUUGAAAUGAAUUUAUUUCGUAAACCCACUGAAAUCGUCAUUCUUUAAACUUGGAGAAUGUGUACGGUGGGAAAUGUUUUACAGAAGAUACUGGUGCCUUCUACUUCACGUUUCUAAUUAAAGGUUUUGCUGUUUAUCAAAUGCUUAAGAUGGAAUAAGCGUCUUUUGAAAUGUAGAUUUGCAAAUAUUUUGUAUCUAAAGGCAAACGUUCAUGUAAUAACUGCCUGAUCUCACUGUAGCUCCUGUGUGGAUUGGAACCAACUGGGUCUUAGUGCUACGUCAGGGUGAGCUGCCCGCUCCACUCAAUGAGUCACUUUCUGCCCAGGCUGUUAUGUGAUUCCCAUGGAGGGAUGAGGGGGAUGGCGCAGGAAAAUAGGUUUGGGAUCCUCUGAGCUAAGCCAAGGUGUAAAGUCAACGAAAGAGUGAAUACAACCAACUUUGAAUCUCAACACGCCUGAAGGAAGUGGGGUGGGGGGUGGGGUUUCCCAUCAUUUCAUGAAAAUCGGAAGAAGGGUGUAAAAGAAUCCUGCUUGGAUAGCAAGCACACCCCAUCCAGCUCUGCAAGCAAGCUGCCCCAGACCGCUAAGCAAAACAGUGGAGACUUAAGAGGAAACCAAGCCAAGGAAAACCUCCCCAAAACUUCAACGUGGACUGGUGAGAGAAUGUUAACUGCACUUGCAGUUGCUUUGCUGUGGCGCUUAGUGAAGACACUAGCUAUAUCAAGAGGAGAACGUCUCCCACGGGCGUAGGUACGCCACUUCCCUGAAAAGCACUGUCUACACGAGGUCGGUAUCACUAGGUC